ACAUUUCCCAGUAUUAUCGAAGAUCAAGCAAGAAAAAAGACAGAAAACAAAUGCGAAACCACAGCUUCCUUGGCUCUUUUUGCCCAUAUGCCAAAGAGCCGAGCAUUGGCGCCAAGCAUUGGCACCGGCCAUGCGGAGACUAGCGAAAGCUUUCUGAAAUUCCUCUACUUCUCAAGUGAUGACUCGGGCUUUCUCCUUAUAGACAUUCUUGAUGGGCAUGACCGGUCCUGUCAGCUGGGUGGCCAAUUUCUGUUCUUCAGCAGAACUGUCUCCCCUCUUGGGGGCCGAGGGCUUCCUGGGGAAGAGGAUGAGUUUGGAGCAAUACUCAUUCAGACGCUGCACGUUGGCCUGCAGGGACUCGGUGGACUUGUUCCUGCCUCCUCGGAUCCACAGAGAUGCCAGUGGUCCGGGCCACCUUAUUGUGAAUGCCCGCCACCCUGAGCUCCAGGCUGAGGCCUAUACCGGCGCGCACUUUGAUGUGAUACCGCACAGCGGGGCACAGCACGAAGGGCCGGGUGGGGUCCCGACUCUGGGCGCGGGGCGAUGCAGCGCCCUUUGGCUUGCCGGGCCUUGAUUCUGCAAAUCUUCCGGGCCGGCUGGUUGAACCACGUGGCCACACGCUGCUGCCAGUCUUUGUGGAAGUGGGGCUUCAACAUCAUGCCAUUCCUGCUGGGCGCCAUGGCUGCCUACGGCCCUCCUACAAAGGAAACACUAUAGAUUUCUGUAGCAGUGUUACAUAGUAAGGUUUUAUGGCGAGUUUUGUAGCAUAGAUCAUAUUACCUUAGGACUGAUGGUAAAGUUUUAGUCUAAGGAAAGCUCUGAAAAAUUUGAAAAUGUGUAACCACCCAAUGAGUUCAGCUUGCCCACUGCCUAGACAGAACCAUUUAUCAAGACAGGGGCAUGCAGAGCAGGAUGUGUGGGAGACCCGUUUUAUUAUUACUCAAAUCAGUCUCCCCAAGUGGUUUGGAGUUUUUAAGGAUAAUUUGGUGGGUAGGGGACCAGUCAGUUGGGAAAGUUGAUUAGUCGGGUCAGAGAUGAAAUCAGAGGGAGUCGAAGCUGUCCUCUUGUGUUGGCUCAAUUUCUGGAUGGGGGCCACAAGACCAGAUGAGCCAGUUUAUCGUUAUGGGUGGUGCCAGCUGAUCCAUAGAGUACAGGGGCUGCAAAAUAUCUCAAGCACUGAUCUUCGGUUUUACAAUAGUGAUGUUAUCCCGAGGAGCAAUUUGUGGAGGUUUAGAAUCUUGCAGCCUCCAGCUGCAUGACUCCUAAACCAUAAUUUAUAAUCUUGUGGCUAAUUUGUUAGUCCUGCGAAAGCAGGCUAGUCCCCAGGCAGGAAGUGGCUUUGUUUUGGAAAGGGCUGCUAUUGUCUUUGUUUCAAAGCUAAACUAUAAACUAAGUUCCUCCCAAAGUUAGGUCAGCCUACAACCAGGAAUGAACAAAGACAGCUUGGAGGUUAGAAGCAAGAUGGAAUUGGUUAGGUUAGAUCUUUCACUGUCUCAGUUGUAAUUUUGCGAUGGUGUUUUCAAAUGUUGAUUUAAAGAAGACCAUAAAUAUGUGUUGCUUUCUCAGAUUUUGAGAAUAAGGACAAAAAGUGUAUGUUUUAAUGGAAGAAUCUUAAGAAUUUCACUAUUGAAGUGGAUUUCUCUGUCCAUUAACAGUGCUAAAUGUUUUGUAUUUCCCAGGUGGGAAAACAAAAUCUGCAAGGUUUGAAUGAUACUUGUUAUUAGGUUUUGGUAACAGCUGUUGUACUAUUCCCAUUGCAAUGCUCAAUAGCCACACGUGGCAUGUCAUACCUACCAGUUGGACAGCACAGAUAUAGAACAUUUUCAUCAUUGUAAAAAGCCCUAUUUGACAACACUAACUUAAAGUAUUAAUCUUUUAGAAGAGAAAGCUUCAGUCCAACCCAAAAUUACACAAUUUUACUUUUGAAAAUAUUGUUGAAACACGUUCAAUUUUUUAAAAUUUUGGAAAACUGAACAAAAUCCAUUUGUAAAUGCCCAAAUGGUACUGGAGGUGAAAAACUGAAGCCUUGCUGUAUUUUGUUUUUUGGAGGGUUAUGAUCAACACAAAAGAGAAGAUUCAGCCACCCAUAGAGCUUCUUGAGAAAAAUUUUCUAACAAUAAUUUUGAAAAUUUGGAGUGAAUUUGUUCUUGCCAUUGUUUAUGGGUGCUUUCAUGUGCUAGGCACAUCAAAGUUCUGGAGAAUGACUUAGGCACAACCAAAUGGCUAUCUUGGGAAGACCAAAGUCCUUUGCCAUAUAUGAGAGUUUUGAGAUGGCCAAUACCUUUCUGUAUGGUAGAUUCUUGUUUUUGAAUAUGCCCUCUGGGUUUUCAAAACACAAACUGUUUUUACAAUACCUAUAGUAGUUAUCUAGGGAAUAUUCUUUAGCUUCAAAAGUUCUAUCUUUAGAAUGGGCUUCAAUAUUCAUAACAGUUAUUUUCCUCUAAUCAUUAACAUUUUCCUAUGU
rnacentral:lncRNA from 1 species